GUGUCUCUGUGCAGAGUGUGUGUGACGCCAGGUUAGUGGAACCCCACGGUCUCUGUGCAGAGUGUGUGUGUGUGACGCACAGGUUAGUGGAACCCCAGAGUGUGUGUGUGUGACGCCAGGUUAGUGGAAGCCCACUGUCUCUGUGCAGAGUGUGUGUGUGUGACACCCAGGUUAGUGGAACCCCACAGU